GAUGAAGAACGUAGCAAAUUGCGAUAAGUAUUGUGAAUUGCAUUAUUAGUGAAUCAUCGAAUCUUUGAACGCAUCUUGCGCUCUGGGGCUAUUCCCCAGAGCAUGACUGUUUGAGGGUUGUGUAUAUCAUCAUCCCCCUCCGAGUGGAAACAUGAGGAGAGUUUGGGUAUGGACAGUGGCUUAUUUGUAGGAAUCUGAUUUCUACUAAGCUGAAAAACAUUAGUGGCUGAUUUCCAAUUUCUUGUAGCACAUAGCAAUGGCGUUAUAGUUUAUAUUCGUUGAUGCUAGUACUGUCAUAAGAAUUUGGUUCUAAAAGCACACUUCGAAACCUACACUUUUUCAACUCUUCAACCUCAAAUCAGUUAGGACUACCCGCUGAACUUAAGCAUAUCAAUAAGCGGAGGA
rnacentral:misc_RNA from 1 species